rnacentral:rRNA from 1 species
CCGGACCGGCGCACGGUGAGUAACGCGUAUGCAACUUACCUAUCAGGAGGGGAUAACCCGGCGAAAGUCGGACUAAUACCGCAUGAAGCAGGGGCCCCGCAUGGGGAUAUUUGCUAAAGAUUCAUCGCUGAUAGAUAGGCAUGCGUUCCAUUAGGCAGUUGGCGGGGUAACGGCCCACCAAACCGACGAUGGAUAGGGGUUCUGAGAGGAAGGUCCCCCACAUUGGUACUGAGACACGGACCAA